rnacentral:rRNA from 1 species
GGUCAAGUGAAGAAGCGCAUACGGUGGAUGCCUUGGCAGUCAGAGGCGAUGAAAGACGUGGUAGCCUGCGAAAAGCUUUGGGGAGUCGGCAAACAGACUGUGAUCCAGAGAUCUCUGAAUGGGGGAACCCAGCCAGCAUAAGCUGGUUAUCUUGUACUGAAUACAUAGGUGCAAGAGGCGAACCAGGGGAACUGAAACAUCUAAGUACCCUGAGGAAAAGAAAUCAACCGAGAUUCCCUUAGUAGUGGCGAGCGAACGGGGACCAGCCCUUAAGUUGGUUUGAGAUUAGUGGAACGCUCUGGAAAGUGCGGCCAUAGUGGGUGAUAGCCCCGUACACGAAAAUCUCUUAUCAAUG